GAGGAACUCAGGAAGCUGCCUAGAGCAUUGGAGUGUGGCGCCUCCAAGAGAGCCACUGUACAUCCACCAGACGAUACGAUUUGAGAAGAAAGCAAGAAUAUCGGCAUGGCAUGACGGGCUGGCCUGGUUUGGAAACUGCCUAACUCAGAAAAUGGGCUCAGUGAGGAGCAAGUGUGCAGAGG